GGGAUAUAGCUCAGCUGGGAGAGCGCUGCGUUCGCAACGCAGAGGCCGCGAGUUCGAAUCUCGUUAUCUCC
rnacentral:tRNA from 1 species